rnacentral:lncRNA from 13 species
CACCGCUCUGCCGCAUAUGAAAGAAGAACAUUUCAAAUGUCCUCAAACAAAACCUAUCCCAUCAGAGCCCCAGGACCAGCUUGCUUGGAUUUUUGUCCCAUUCUCUCGGUCAUUCUGUAGUGGCCAGACUAUGCAGCCUCUCAGAAAACAGUGUUUGCCUACUGAGGAUGGAAAAGUACACUGAAAAUGAUGAGUGCCGUUUUACAGGAGAACAUCAACACUGGUGGUGUUUGCACAGGUAAGGAGAGCUCAUCUUCUCUGUAAAGAACACACCAUAACACUUAGUAAAUAGAGAAUAUUACUUCAGAGUUGACUAAUCAUUGAGAUCUGAGUAAAAAUGUAUAUGGUAAAUUGUGCUAAUACAGCCAAAUGUUUCCACACAAUCCAAACAAUGGCAAUCAUAUUAUUUUAUGAUUUAACACUACAACAUAUUGUAAUGCAAUGACUGGAUUCUUUUAUAGGAAUAAGAGUGAAUACAGUAAUGAUUUAAUAUGGAAAAUGGAGCAAUUACUUACCAUGCAGCAUUUAAACUGGUUCCCUCCUUUAGGGACAGUAGCCCUGCACGAAGUAGCACAAAAGUUAUAGUUAACUUCUACUCUAUAGACAGACAUAUUUGAUGUGUUAAUUCUAAUCUAAAAAUACCAAGAUAGCCUUAACAGGAUUUGUUGAUGUUCUUGAGAUCAGCCAGACUCACUGGAAGAGAGUUUAGGGACAUUUCCCAGGUGGCAUGAGGACCUAGAUUUCAAAAAUACCAACCAAUCAAAUAGAAAGGGGGACAGAAGAGGUGAAUAGAAUUUAAGAAAAAAGUGCUUUGCACUCCACCCUCAGACAUCAAUACAUUGUAUAGGAUAGAUUAAGUAGAUGUUCAAUCCAAUAAAGAACAGACUUGAUCAAAUGUGUUAACCCUGAUCACUUUGCAAGUCAAUGUACAACAGUGGAGGCUGCUGGAGGGAGGACGGCUCAUAAUAAUGGCUGGAAUGGAGUCAGUGGAGCGGAUCAACCACAUGGAAACCACGUCUUUGAUGUGUAUGAUACCAUUUCAUUGACUCCCUUCCAGCCAUUAUUAUGAGCCGUCCUCCUUUCAGCAGUCUCCACACGUAUACUAGACUAACUAGAUAUCUUAACGUUCAUAAGUGGAAGUCAUCUGAAUCCUCUUGAAAAUGUUUUCAUGAAAGCAAA